GGGCGCUUAGCUCAGCUGGUAGAGCGGCGCCCUUACAAGGCGUAGGUCGGGGGUUCGAACCCCUCAGCGCCCACCA
rnacentral:tRNA from 1 species